GCUUUUGUUGUGGAUUAUGCGUAUUUAUUUAUGUGCAAUGUUAGGUUAAAUUUUUUUGUGACAGUGUGUGGUAAAUAGGUUUUGUUAUGAUAUAUAUGAUGACAGGGAUUAGAUACCCCAUUAAUGUAUUUUGUAAAGUUGUUCUAGUUUUGUAACUAAGAUGGUUUGGCAGUGAGCGAUUCUUAUUAGGGGAAUAUGCAUAGUGAAGGAUGGUCCACCUAUUAGUUUACUCUUUUUAUGUUGGUGUAUGUCUGGUUUGA
rnacentral:rRNA from 1 species